CAGAUAUUAGUUUAUUAAAAUAUUAAUUUUGGAGAUUAAAGAUAAAUUUAUUUUUAUAUCUGA
rnacentral:tRNA from 1 species